AAUCAUUAGGGGAUUCAUCAGUACUAUUUAUGUUAUAAAAAAACCUGCCCGAGAGCAGGUUUUUGUUUAUU
rnacentral:ncRNA from 24 species